AACUCUGCAACGUAUUACACGCCAACGAGCUUGCAAGGCAACUGAAGGAAGAUGGAGUCAAUAUAACAGUAAAUUCUCUUCAUCCAGGAGCCAUUAUGACAAGUCUUUGGCGCCACUUCAAUAGCUAUUUAGCUGGAGCUGUUAGUGCACUGGCUAGCUAUUUCAUAAAGACUAUACCGCAGG